rnacentral:rRNA from 1 species
UACGUAGGGGGCAAGCGUUGUCCGGAAUUAUUGGGCGUAAAGCGCGUGUAGGCGGCCUGGUAAGUCUGGUGUGAAACCUUGGGGCUCAACCCCAAGCCUGCACUGGAUACUGCCUCGCUAGAGUCCGGGAGGGGAGGGCGGAAUUCCUAGUGUAGCGGUGAAAUGCGCAGAUAUUAGGAAGAACACCGGUGGCGAAGGCGGCCCUCUGGAACGGUACUGACGCUAAGACGCGAAAGCGUGGGGAGCGAACAGG